ACACACACACACACACGCACGUUUCCAUAGAGAGAGGUUCCACUUUGCAUUAGCAGCUCAUGCUUCAGCGCUCUGCGAGUGUUUAUAGCCCUGUGACUUUAACACUUCAUGACUGAGAGCUGCUGCUCAGCGACUUCACCCACAGCAACCAUGAGUUUGAUCAGCGUCUUCAUCUGCACACUGGCCCUCUGCGCUCGAGGAUCCAGAGGUCAGGUGACUGUGACUCAGAGUCCUGCAGUGAAACCUGUUUCUCCAGGAGAGACACUCACCAUCAGCUGUAAAACCAGCUCUGAUGUUUACCGCUGGAGUGAUGGAGAUGAAGAUAUAUUCUGGUAUCAGCUGAAAGCUGGAGAAGCUCCUAAACUCCUGAUAAGAUAUGUGAAGAAGUUAGAGUCAGGUAUUCCAGCUCGUUUCAGUGGCAGUGGAUCUGGAUCUGAUUUCACUCUGACCAUCAGUGGAGUCCAGACUGAAGAUGCUGGAGAUUAUUACUGUCAGAGUGUACAUGAUAUCAGUGGUAGCGGGGUGUUCACACAGUGUUAGAGCGUCGUACAAAAACCUGUGUGAGUGUGACUGCUGCAGCUGGGACCUACUGCAGGUGCUGAGGGGGACGAUGUGAUACAGCACAAUCACACACACACACACACACACACACACACUCACACACACACACACACACACACACACUCACACACACACACACACACACACACAAUCACACACACACACACACUCACACACACACACACACACACACACACACACACACACACACACACACACACACACACA